UACUAUUGAGCUUUGCUUUUUUUGUUUUCAAGUCUUACCCAUGCAGCAUCUGUGAGCCACCGACCAACAAAAAUUGUCAGUUUAAAGCCACACAAAUGACCUCAACCUGGAUCCUCUUGCAUGUCUAAACUGCUUUCCUCACUGCUCUGAAUCCUUGUGCAUUGUUUGGUAGCAGGUUGUGGCUACAGUGCUUCUAUAGUGACAUUUUCCUUUCAGCGGAAGGUCAGCAAGUUCAGGAAGACACUCAGGAACUGGGACACAUCUGACUGCGUGGCUUGUGAGGUACAGUAAUGCCAAAAUAAACACAGUAGGAGGAAUUGGUGAUGACUACGUGAGAAAGGAGAGCAGGACUUCUUAACACGAGCAGACAGUAAGACCAACGCCUGGCUCGUGCCGGCCCACUGCAUCGAGAGGAGUCGGCGUGUAUGCAGCAGGAGCCUCGGUCUCGGAGGAGGACGCAUCACCAGGGGUAACGUUACGCCUUCAAAGCGGAGUCAAAGUCUACAAACAACGUCCGACUCCGAAAGUUCUUGCCGCCCCGCCAAAAGGAAGCCGGGACCGGCGGUCAUUUCCGCCGGCCUAACCGAGCCGCGAGGGGCGGAGGGGCGCGCGCGCGGAGCAGCACUGGCUCUCCCCAAAUGUUCCCCCCCUUCGCCAUCUACGUAACAACAUGUCGGCAGAGACGGCCAUGUUUUGCUGGUUAUGUCGACACGGGGAGGAGGAAAAGUAGACACGACGUUUCUCCUCUCCGCUCCCUCCCGCCUCAAUCCCGGUAGACCGGGGAGAAACUCGUCAAAAACGUUCCGCUAACAACUUGGCGGACGGCGUGUCGGUUCGCAGGUGUCCGCGGUCAAAGUUCACGCGGCGAGACAAGUUCAAAUGUUUAUCCGGGGGCGCGUGGCUGUUUGGGAGCCACGACAACACACCAACAACUGCAUCCACUUUUAACUUUGGAUAGGAGGAGCCGUGAUGGGAAAAACAGGGGGAGGGAGUUGAUCCUCCGCUUACCUGCCCGCUGCUGCUUCUGCUCAGGUGCUGCGGUUCAAUCCCUCCGCGACCAUUACACCAACAACCACGCCGAGUGGCUUCCAGCACUUUCGCGGCGGUCCGAUAACCGAGGAGACGACGGUCGACGGGGAAGAAAAAAAUUGGCGAUCACAAGGAGGAUCUACGCCAAAAGCCACAUGAUCGCCGACGUCAGAGUACGUAUUUGCAUGCCGUACCGCGGCGCCGGUACCCGUCCUCUGCGGCUCCAUGGUGAGGGAGGAAAAAAAAGGAAAAAAAGUUUUGGGGACGGUUGAAGACGGCGCGAGGAGUCUGUGUCCAGUAGGCAAGGGGGUGCUGGUGUCGCCAGGAAGCUCCGAAAAUGAAUGAAAAGCCGCUUGUUGUUGUCAAGUUGUCCCUUGCUGACGCCUGCCCGCCCCUCCGCCAGCAGCUCAUUGAAUAUUUAAGCAUCCUUUUGGGGAGGGGGGGGCUGAUCUUGUUGCGCCUCCUGCCCGGGCUCCUCCACCCGCAUCCCGGAUGAGGAAAGGAGGCGGCGCAGCGCGCGAUCAGCAGGAGGAACCUGCAGACAUGUGGAGCUGCAGGAGGUCUGCAGUCAAAGUUUACGCUGAAAGGAACAUCGAACAGGCGCACAACAGUGACCUCUGGUGGACGACCGGCAGAACUGCUGACCUCAAUCCAAGCACGUGGUUAAAGUUUCUUCACACUAAACUUAAAAAAUCCACAUCUACUGCUCAAUAAAAAAUAAAAUGGUCA